rnacentral:tRNA from 1 species
GCCGACUUAGCUCAGCAGGCAGAGCAACUGACUUGUAAUCAUCAGGUCACCAGUUCGGCUCCGGUAGUCGGCAUCA